GGACUACCAGGGUAUCUAAUCCCGUUUGCUCCCCUGGCUUUCGUGCCUCAGCGUCAGGAAGUGUCCAGAGACUCGCCUUCGCCACAGGUGUUCCUCUCGAUAUCUACGCAUUUCACUGCUACACCGAGAAUUCCAGUCUCCCCUCCACUCCUCGAGCCGAAUAGUAUCCAAUGCCGUUCCGCAGUUGAGCUGCGGGAUUUCACAUCAGACUUACCCGACCGCCUACGCACCCUUUACGCCCAGUGAAUCCGAACAACGCUUGGGACCUCUGUAUUACCGCGGCUGCUGGCAC
rnacentral:rRNA from 2 species